AACGAACGCUGGCGGCAUGCCUAACACAUGCAAGUCGAACGAGACCUUCGGGUCUAGUGGCGCACGGGUGCGUAACGCGUGGGAAUCUGCCCUUGGGUUCGGAAUAACUCCCCGAAAGGGGUGCUAAUACCGGAUGAUGUCGUAAGACCAAAGAUUUAUCGCCCAAGGAUGAGCCCGCGUAGGAUUAGGUAGUUGGUGAGGUAAAGGCUCACCAAGCCGACGAUCCUUAGCUGGUCUGAGAGGAUGAUCAGCCACACUGGGACUGAGACACGGCCCAGACUCCUACGGGAGGCAGCAGUGGGGAAUAUUGGACAAUGGGCGAAAGCCUGAUCCAGCAAUGCCGCGUGAGUGAUGAAGGCCUUAGGGUUGUAAAGCUCUUUUACCCGGGAUGAUAAUGACAGUACCGGGAGAAUAAGCCCCGGCUAACUCCGUGCCAGCCGCCGCAGUAAUAC
rnacentral:rRNA from 1 species